UACGAAGGGGGCUAGCGUUGUUCGGAAUCACUGGGCUUAAAGGGUGCGUAGGCGGGAUCUUAAGUCAGGGGUGAAAUCCCGAGGCUCAACCUCGGAAAUGCCUUUGAUACUGAGGUCCUUGAGUCCGGAAGAGGUGAGUGGAACUGCGAGUGUAGAGGUGAAAUUCGUAGAUAUUCGCAAGAACACCGGUGGCGAAGGCGGCUCACUGGUCCGGAACUGACGCUGAGGCACGAAAGCGUGGGGAGCAAACAGG
rnacentral:rRNA from 1 species